UACAGAGGACUCAAGCGUUGUUCGGAUUCAUUGGGCGUAAAGGGUGCGUAGGCGGCGCGGUAAGUCAGGUGUGAAAUCUCGGGGCUCAACCCCGAAACUGCACUUGAUACUGCGGUGCUCGAGUACUGGAGAGGAGAUUGGAAUUUACGGUGUAGCAGUGAAAUGCGUAGAUAUCGUAAGGAAGACCAGUGGCGAAGGCGAAUCUCUGGACAGUUACUGACACUGAGGCACGAAGGCCAGGGGAGCAAACGGG
rnacentral:rRNA from 1 species